rnacentral:rRNA from 1 species
GAUGAACGCUGGCGGCGUGCCUAAUACAUGCAAGUCGAGCGAACAGACGAGGAGCUUGCUCCUCUGACGUUAGCGGCGGACGGGUGAGUAACACGUGGAUAACCUACCUAUAAGACUGGGAUAACUUCGGGAAACCGGAGCUAAUACCGGAUAAUAUAUUGAACCGCAUGGUUCAAUAGUGAAAGACGGUUUUGCUGUCACUUAUAGAUGGAUCCGCGCCGCAUUAGCUAGUUGGUAAGGUAACGGCUUACCAAGGCAACGAUGCGUAGCCGACCUGAGAGGGUGAUCGGCCACACUGGAACUGUGACACGGUCCAGACUCCUACGGGAGGCAGCAGUAGGGAAUCUUCCGCAAUGGGCGAAAGCUUGACGGAGCAACGCCGCGUGAGUGAUGAAGGUCUUCGGAUCGUAAAACUCUGUUAUUAGGGAAGAACAAAUGUGUAAGCAACUAUGCACGUCUUGACGGUACCUAAUCAGAAAGCCACGGCUAACUACGUG